GGAUGUUGGCUUAGAAGCAGCCAUCAUUUAAAGAAAGCGUAAUAGCUCACUGGUCGAGUCGGCCUGCGCGGAAGAUGUAACGGGGCUAAACCAUGCACCGAAGCUGCGGCAGCGACACUAUGUGUUGUUGGGUAGGGGAGCGUUCUGUAAGCCUGUGAAGGUGUACUGUGAGGUAUGCUGGAGGUAUCAGAAGUGCGAAUGCUGACAUAAGUAACGAUAAAGCGGGUGAAAAGCCCGCUCGCCGGAAGACCAAGGGUUCCUGUCCAACGUUAAUCGGGGCAGGGUGAGUCGACCCCUAAGGCGAGGCCGAAAGGCGUAGUCGAUGGGAAACAGGUUAAUAUUCCUGUACUUGGUGUUACUGCGAAGGGGGGACGGAGAAGGCUAUGUUGGCCGGGCGACGGUUGUCCCGGUUUAAGCGUGUAGGCUGGUUUUCCAGGCAAAUCCGGAAAAUCAAGGCUGAGGCGUGAUGACGAGGCACUACGGUGCUGAAGCAACAAAUGCCCUGCUUCCAGGAAAAGCCUCUAAGCAUCAGGUAACAUCAAAUCGUACCCCAAACCGACACAGGUGGUCAGGUAGAGAAUACCAAGGCGCUUGAGAGAACUCGGGUGAAGGAACUAGGCAAAAUGGUGCCGUAACUUCGGGAGAAGGCACGCUGAUAUGUAGGUGAAGUCCCUUGCGGAUGGAGCUGAAAUCAGUCGAAGAUACCAGCUGGCUGCAACUGUUUAUUAAAAACACAGCACUGUGCAAACACGAAAGUGGACGUAUACGGUGUGACGCCUGCCCGGUGCCGGAAGGUUAAUUGAUGGGGUUAGCGGUAACGCGAAGCUCUUGAUCGAAGCCCCGGUAAACGGCGGCCGUAACUAUAACGGUCCUAAGGUAGCGAAAUUCCUUGUCGGGUAAGUUCCGACCUGCACGAAUGGCGUAAUGAUGGCCAGGCUGUCUCCACCCGAGACUCAGUGAAAUUGAACUCGCUGUGAAGAUGCAGUGUACCCGCGGCAAGACGGAAAGACCCCGUGAACCUUUACUAUAGCUUGACACUGAACAUUGAGCCUUGAUGUGUAGGAUAGGUGGGAGGCUUUGAAGUGUGGACGCCAGUCUGCAUGGAGCCGGCCUUGAAAUACCACCCUUUAAUGUUUGAUGUUCUAACGUUGGCCCCUGAUCGGGGUUGCGGACAGUGUCUGGUGGGUAGUUUGACUGGGGCGGUCUCCUCCUAAAGAGUAACGGAGGAGCACGAAGGUUGGCUAAUCCUGGUCGGACAUCAGGAGGUUAGUGCAAUGGCAUAAGCCAGCUUGACUGCGAGCGUGACGGCGCGAGCAGGUGCGAAAGCAGGUCAUAGUGAUCCGGUGGUUCUGAAUGGAAGGGCCAUCGCUCAACGGAUAAAAGGUACUCCGGGGAUAACAGGCUGAUACCGCCCAAGAGUUCAUAUCGACGGCGGUGUUUGGCACCUCGAUGUCGGCUCAUCACAUCCUGGGGCUGAAGUAGGUCCCAAGGGUAUGGCUGUUCGCCAUUUAAAGUGGUACGCGAGCUGGGUUUAGAACGUCGUGAGACAGUUCGGUCCCUAUCUGCCGUGGGCGCUGGAGAACUGAGGGGGGCUGCUCCUAGUACGAGAGGACCGGAGUGGACGCAUCACUGGUGUUCGGGUUGUCAUGCCAAUGGCACUGCCCGGUAGCUAAAUGCGGAAGAGAUAAGUGCUGAAAGCAUCUAAGCACGAAACUUGCCCCGAGAUGAGUUCUCCCUGACUCCUUGAGAGUCCUGAAGGAACGUUGAAGACGACGACGUUGAUAGGCCGGGUGUGUAAGCGCAGCGAUGCGUUGAGCUAACCGGUACUAAUGAACCGUGAGGCUUAACCUU
rnacentral:rRNA from 1 species